CCGCCUGCGGCUGCGUUCUAAUCACAAGCCAGGAAGGAAGAAGGGAGGGCUGCAGGGCUGUGUGUGCGGGAAAUAGCGAGGAAAGAGAAGAAAUCCGGGAGCUCGCGGGCGCUCUGGUUGCAAUCGCGCCCCCCUCAUCUGUCCCCGCCGUUCCCCUUCGGAAGCUGCCCCAGGCACACUUCCCCGCUUCUUUCCAGUCUCCUCUCCUCUGGUUCUCCCGACACCCGGUCUCCCUGUUACGCCUCACCCUCCUUCCCUUGCUCCCUCCCUCUCCCUCCCUCCCUCCCUCCCAUCGUCAGGCUCCCCGCCCUUAGUAUCGC
rnacentral:lncRNA from 1 species